rnacentral:rRNA from 1 species
CCCUUAGAUGUUCUGGGCCGCACACGCGCUACACUGAAGGAGGCAGCGUGUACUCCUGGAUCGAAAGAUUUGGGUAACCCGCGAAUCUCCUUCGUGCUAGGGAUUGAGGUUUGCAAUUAUCCUUCAUGAACGAGGAAUUCCCAGUAAGUGCAAGUCAUAAGCUUGCGCUGACUACGUCCCUGCCCUUUGUACACACCGCCCGUCACUACUACCGAUUGAAUGAUUUAGUGAGGACUUCGGACUGGGACCGAUGCGGCUUUCGGGCUGCGUCGGUAUUCUGGAAAGAUGUCCAAACUGUAUCAUUUAGAGGAAGUAAAAGUCGUANCA